CCUACGGGGGGCUGCAGUGGGGAAUAUUGCACAAUGGGCGCAAGCCUGAUGCAGCCAUGCCGCGUGUGUGAAGAAGGCCUUCGGGUUGUAAAGCACUUUCAGCGGGGAGGAAGGCGGUGAGGUUAAUAACCUCAUCGAUUGACGUUACCCGCAGAAGAAGCACCGGCUAACUCCGUGCCAGCAGCCGCGGUAAUACGGAGGGUGCAAGCGUUAAUCGGAAUUACUGGGCGUAAAGCGCACGCAGGCGGUCUGUCAAGUCGGAUGUGAAAUCCCCGGGCUCAACCUGGGAACUGCAUUCGAAACUGGCAGGCUAGAGUCUUGUAGAGGGGGGUAGAAUUCCAGGUGUAGCGGUGAAAUGCGCAGAGAUCUGGAGGAAUACCGGUGGCGAAGGCGGCCCCCUGGACAAAGACUGACGCUCAGGUGCGAAAGCGUGGGGAGCAAACAGGAUUAGAUACCCUUGUAGUC
rnacentral:rRNA from 1 species